rnacentral:rRNA from 1 species
AACGCUGGCGGCAUGCCUUACACAUGCAAGUCGAACGGCAGCACGGGAGCAAUCCUGGUGGCGAGUGGCGAACGGGUGAGUAAUAUAUCGGAACGUGCCCAGUCGUGGGGGAUAACGUAGCGAAAGCUACGCUAAUACCGCAUACGAUCUAUGGAUGAAAGCGGGGGAUCGCAAGACCUCGCGCGAUUGGAGCGGCCGAUAUCAGAUUAGGUAGUUGGUGGGGUAAAAGCCUACCAAGGCGACGAUCCUUAGCUGGUCUGAGAGGAUGAUCAGCCACACUGGGACUGAGACACGGCCCAGACUCCUACGGGAGGCAGCAGUGGGGAAUAUUGGACAAUGGGCGAAAGCCUGAUCCAGCAAUGCCGCGUGAGUGAUGAAGGCCUUAGGGUUGUAAACUUCUUUUGGAUGGGAAUAAUAAUGUCGACGUGCUCGGCACUUGAAGGUACCAUCAGAAUAAGCACCGGCUAACUCCGUG